rnacentral:rRNA from 1 species
GUUUAACCUGCCCAAUGAUUUUUUUUUAAUGGCCGCAGUAAUAUAACUGUGCAAAGGUAGCAUAAUCAUUAGUCUUUUAAUUGAAGGCUUGUAUGAAUGGUUGGACGAAAUAUUAGCUGUUUCAUUUAAAUUUUUAUUAGAAUUUUAUUUUUUAGUUAAAAAGCUAAAAUAUUGUUAAAAGACGAGAAGACCCUAUAAAGCUUAAUAUUUUUAUUAUUUUAUUAAUUUAGUUUAAUUUUAUUAAAUUAUUAUAAAAGUAUUUUAUUGGGGUGAUAUUAAAAUUUAUAAAACUUUUAAUUUAAAAUAAGCCAUUUAUUUAUGAUUAAAUGAUCCAUUUUUAAUGAUUAUAAAUUUAAGUUACUUUAGGGAUAACAGCGUAAUUUUUUUGUAGAGUUCUUAUCGAUAAAAAAUAUUGCGACCUCGAUGUUGGAUUAAGAGAUAUUUUUAGGUGUAGAGGUUUAAAAUAA